CUACGGGAGGCAGCAGUGAGGAAUAUUGGGCAAUGGGCGCAAGCCUGACCCAGCCAUGCCGCGUGAAGGAUGAAUGCCCUAUGGGUUGUAAACUUCUUUUGUACGGGACAAAACUCCAGGUCGUGACCAGGAUUGAUGGUACCGUACGAAUAAGCAUCGGCUAACUCCGUGCCAGCAGCCGCGGUAAUACGGAGGAUGCGAGCGUUAUCCGGAUUUAUUGGGUUUAAAGGGUGCGUAGGCGGAAUAAUAAGUCAGUGGUGAAAGCCUGCGGCUUAACCGUAGAAUUGCCAUUGAUACUGUUAUUCUUGAGUAUAGUUGAAGUGGGCGGAAUGUGUAAUGUAGCGGUGAAAUGCUUAGAUAUUACACAGAACACCAAUUGCGAAGGCAGCUCACUAAGCUGUUACUGACGCUGAGGCACGAAAGCGUGGGGAGCAAACAGGAUUAGAUACCCCUGUAGUCG
rnacentral:rRNA from 1 species